CCGAACCUUUGAAGAACAUACCAGUGAACGAGCUGCGACUAACGACUUUCUAUAACGUCCCGAACCUCCCGAAAUUUUGACCAGUGCACGAGCUGCGACUAACCACCUUCUCUCCCGCACCGAGACUCCAGACUAUAAAGAGGUUCAUGUGACACUUUCGCACGGACGACAAACAUGGAAGAACUGGACGCUGCCUUACCUCACGUUGUUCCUACUCCGGGAAUCCCGCUUCGUUUAACGUCUCUCCUUCAAACUUAGGUUCCUGGACGUCCCACGGUUCUUUAAGCGUGAGUUCCGGUUCAGAGAGAAAGGCCUAGAACUCCCGUAAUACGUCUACUAGUAGUGGAAACUACAAAUGGAAUGUAGUCUUGACUUCCAACGACCACUCUUACUGAUAAUGAGAUAGGAGAGACACCUGUGCAGUCGUCUACUACUUUGACACUUCUUCGUCAUGUCCUUCUACCGUGAAGAUGAGGUAGGACUGUUCUUGUUUAGUCACCCGCGACUCCCACGAAAGGUCAACCAAUUUCUCCGUACCUGACACAAUAGACUAUUUUGGUUCUCUGACAACAUACUAGUCUUUUCCUUUCAUCAACAUGAUGUUGUCUUCUGUCGGGUUAGUUUAUCCUGUUCACGUUGAGUUCCACGUUGGUUACCGAAGCUCUUAAAGCGUCGGUUUAGUGGACGAAAGUUCGGUUCUCGUUUGUUCGGUUUCUGUCCCGGUUGUUGUAGACGUCGCGCGGUCGCGGGCGGGGGUGGGGGUGUCGCGGGCGGAGGAGUAGUAGUCCGAGGUGGAGGUCGUUACUUCCUGUGUAAAACCUGGAGUACGUUGUUUACGUUCUACUUAAAACUUAUAGAGUCUCACAUAUAUUUAGUAUGAGAAGAGACGGGAUCGACGGCGCUGGGUAAGGAACGUUUUCUCCAUGGCCACGGUGGUUGACUCCUACAAGUACGUCAUGCCCCGAGUUUGUAGUCACCACGUGGAGUUCUACGUUCGUGACCCUCUUUAAAAGUCACCCCAGGUAAGAGUUCCCGUCGACCACGUCGGUCACGAUGACGUAGCAGUAGACGACGCCGAGUUCGACGAUUAUACCAAGUAGUCUGUAUACUCUUUCAAUUCUCUCUGUCCCUCCUCCGUGUCCGUCAUCGUUCUUCCCUUCUUCGAAAAGUCUCCUUCGUGUUAGGAGAUUUUUCCGUUCGUCUACACAGUUGCUUGGUACCUUACCCGCUAUGACGUAAACCUUUCUUCUACUCUUGACUACGACCUCAACCAAGUAGGUAAGGGAGUCCAGGUACCCGGGUUAAACGAUCUUACGGUCAACCUUGAUAUGGUAAAAGUUGGUUGUCACGGAAACUCAAAGUCUAACAAUUACCACACGGGUGAACCUUCGGGUCCGGACAAUGAGCCGAGUCGCAUUGAUUCUAAAAGAGAUUCAGUCUAGAAUUCUCUUAAAACUAACUGUUCUACUUCUCGCUAAACUUCCUCUUCGAUUCACUCUAUGCUUCAUCCGGUUAGGUUCAAUGGCAACUACCAGGUCGCUCGUUCUUUAUACAACUCCAAUCGUUUCGUUGUCAACUAAGAUGACGUUUCUUUCUACAAACACACCUAGGUCUCCUCUUACCAAGACGAUUAUCGUUACCAAGACGACUAUCGUGUCGACGACCUUUACUUCUGCUCCUGGGAUACAGAAUAUGACAAGGACUAGGACUAAAGGUACUAAAACUAUUCCUAGCAUGGCUCCUUACAAAAGUCUCACUAGUUUAAACCCGAAGUAUGCUGCUACUACUACCGUACGGAGCAAAGAUGUGUAAAUAGGUCUUUCAAUAGAGGAACUUGGGCAAAUUCCAGUUUUAUUCAAUGGAGCUCAGCUUCUGCUUAUCACUUAAACCUGGUAACUCAACCCAAAGAAGACCGAAACGUUUCUGCACACCACUAAAGUCCUAACGGUUUGUACUUUAGACACUGCACCAGUUGUACAAGAGAGUGGUCUAAUUUACCCUCUUUCCGGGUGCACCCCACCAGUUUCAAAUGGGUGCCCUUCCGCUAUAGACCCGAAACAUGGCUUUGACCAGGGGACUUACCCUACCUCUAUGAGGUCUGUUACACGACGUACAGAUACUAGACCAACUCCAUGACCUACUAAUACUGCUUCUAGUACCUUAGAGACAUUAAGGGAACCAAUUCCAAUGACCUAAAGCCUGUCAAAAAGUCGCAGUGGUCUUGUUCUUGCAGUAGUUCUCCUAAGGUUUUCUCCUCUACAAAGCCAAAAGUGUAGUCCAGGGGAAGAUAUCCAACAGUCCCCUUCUUCGAGGUUUGCAGGGGUUUCUAUCGAUACUCCAUCUGGGUCGACGUUAAGGCUUCCUUGAAGAAGUCCCCUAGUGUCUUUGUCGCCUCCUCCGUCUUCCUUGAAGAUUUAGGUCAACUCUACCAACUACGACGCUGAGGCAAUAUGAAAACAACUGGACGGGCGGCAAAACGUAGUCUGAAAACAACCGUGAUCGAUCAAAGAUAUCGUAAAGGAUCGAAGAUAUGAAAACUGUCAAUGGAAACGUAUGUUCCCGUCCAGACCCUAAUCGGUAAGGACAGAACAUACGGUACACAGAACCGGCAGAGUAGUUCCUUCGAGUAUUACACUCAUUCGCCGCCAGUAAAACAUACAGUCUUUUUUCAGAGAAUAUAAUAUACACGACAAAAUGGAACAGCUUUUGAACCUUUAUACACGAUAAAAUGGAACAGGUUUUGAACCUUUAUACACGACAAAAUGGAACAGGUUUUGAACCUUUAUACACGACAAAAUGGAACAGGUUUUGUACCGUAACGACUAUAACCAUGACAAAAAGAGAAAACGAACAGACGGUACAACCGGAAAAAUCAAUCUCCUUGAGAAGACAAGGACCGGGUAAUAGGUUUAUAUGUAUACAACAACUAUUAUUAGAUGGUACUCGUUACGUUUGGUAAGUUGUCACAAACAAAGGGUGGCAAACAGAAUAAGGAUAAAUUCGUAUGUUUAGUAGUACGUUCUAUGCUCUUCAAACAAGGCAUUCUACGGUACACCUGGCACCUCACUGCAAAGCUGAGGUCUACCAGAUUAGAAAGGGGAUCUCUAGGCUGGAAACGAUUCGUUACAUCUUUAUAUCAAACAAAUGUAGAGAGAUCAGCAUACUCCUAAUUAACAAACACUAAAAUGGACAAAAUAAUGACGAGUAGUAUUAUGUCGACAAUCUCGAAUGGUAACACCCACCAAGCACACCCACGAGAAUGGGUGGUGUGAGUGAGAAAGUCCGGCAGUGGCCGUUUGAUGUCUCAAGUAGUAAUUG
rnacentral:rRNA from 1 species